rnacentral:rRNA from 1 species
UACGUAGGGUCCGAGCGUUGUCCGGAAUUAUUGGGCGUAAAGAGCUCGUAGGCGGUUUGUCGCGUCUGCUGUGAAAACCUAAGGCUCAACCUUGGGCUUGCAGUGGGUACGGGCAGACUAGAGUGCGGUAGGGGUGACUGGAAUUCCUGGUGUAGCGGUGGAAUGCGCAGAUAUCAGGAGGAACACCGGUGGCGAAGGCGGGUCUCUGGGCAGUAACUGACGCUGAGGAGCGAAAGCGUGGGGAGCGAACAGG